AAAUUUUAAAAUAUUGUAUUUGAUUCUCUAGGAACGUUGAGAGUAGAGAAGAAAGAGGCAGAGUUAACUAAUAUUCAUUUCAUAUUUAAUUUUUCUGACUUUUUGCGAAGUGCUCUGUGUCCCAUUGAGCGUCACAGCAGGGGUUGUUGUUGUUUGCUUUUUGGGGCCAUGGCAGUUCCCAGGCUAGGGGUCGAAUUGGAGCUACAGCUGCCAGCCACAGCCACAGCAAUGUGGGAUCCGAGCUGCAUCUGCGACCUACACCACAGCUCACAGCAAUGCCAGAUCCUUAACCCACUGAUGGAGGCCAGGGAUCGAACCUGCAUCCUCGUGGAUGCUAGUCAGAUUCGUUUGCGCUGAGCCACGACGGGAACUCCAGUUUUUGAGGUGAGUGUUCUUAUUCUUACUCUGCAGAUCAGGGUCAGAGGCCCACAAAUAACCCCAGCUAAUAAGGAAAGCGGUUUAUAAUCCAGACCCAUAGAACUCCACAGUGAAGGCCUGAAAAAAAUUCAUCAACCAUAAGAAAGGACACUUUAAGAAAAACCCUUGAUUUGGGAAGGAAAUAAUAAAUAAACUUUUUAUUUUUUUUAAUGCAAAGGGGCAGAUCGUUGUACUCCACCAAUAUGUAAAAUAACUUUUCUCCUUAGCUCGCUUUAAGGUAAAACCAUUUAGGUUCUUGCAAACUAUGGGUUGAGUCUCUUGAAAAACCCUGAAAACUUACCAUGCAUGAAGAAAACGAUUCCUUGGACCAGUUAUAGCCUCCUGGCAUAUUAAAUGCUCGGUUUUUCUGAGGAGGCCAUGCCAAAUACAGGGUAAUUUUAGCCGUUGCAGUCUGUCCUUAUGUAAAUAGAGAUUUGCGAUCUGCUCUCAUUGGUGCCAUCCCCAGCAGUACAGAUGGGCUAUUUUUGCCUGGUGCCAGGCUGUAGAAAGAGCUUAGAGCCUCACAGAUUGGUCUGCUGCUUGAGUUGGAACGGAACCAACUACCCCAGGAUAGCGCCAGUCAUCUAUUUUGAUAGUCAGCUCUCUUCAUUAGUAUUCGUUUUGGCUCUGGGGCUUCAGCUCUCACACAAAGGGCGGGGCCCUGAAGGCAUCUGGUUUCCCCUCCGUGUUGCUGGCUUCAGACAUUUUAUUAAUUGCCCUGCGAGUUGGCAUCGUUUGCUAGUUUCAAAUACUCUUCAAAUGCCCUCAGUAUAGCUAAUUCUUUGUUCCUUCUCUAUGAAAAAAAAAUCACAGGGUUCAAAAUCUCUGGCCCAUCACAAUGCUGUAUUUUAUUACAUUCUUGAUAUGGAGUGAGCAUAGCCAAUCUCCCAGAAUGCGGUGAAGGAUUUUUGCCACAUGACUCUAACAUUUUUCUUGUGUGAUUUCAUUCCGUACUGACUUUCCUUUAAUCCACCCUGCCUACUCCUGGAACUCCUUCUCUUGCUUCUCUCCAAUUUCAAUUUAUUUGCAAAGUAGUCAUGUCACAUCUAUGCUUCUGCAGAACUUCCAGUAUCUGUAUUCAAGUUAUGUCCUUUAGUAGCUUUAGGCCACCGUGAGGCCAUGGACCAAGAGGUUACUCAGGUAGCUGAGGGAUCCAGGCAGUGAAAUGACUGGUUUAUCCUUCUCUUCAUCCACCCUACCUCCAGAGUAAGAGCAAAGCCUGGACAAAUACUCUCUAGACACAUGAAAAUUCUGAAGUGGCCUGGAUGGGACAUCUAGUACAUUGCAUGAAUCCUGUGUAUUAAAACCAUCCGUGCAUUGGGAGUGCCCAUCGUGCUCAGUGGUAAUGAACCUGACUAGUAUCCACAAGGAUGUGGGUUCGAUCCCUGGCCUCGCUCAGUGGAUUAAGGGUGAGCUGUGGUGUACCUUGCAGACACAGCUUGGAUCCCACCAGUUCUGGCCCCUGUCUCAGCGCCUGCCAAGACCCUGAAGCCCUGUGGCCCUGUGGGACACAGAGAAUGACAGGACUUGGGAUGACACUCAGGAGUGAGCACAUCUGCUGCCCUCUCUUAGGCAAGUAGCUGUAUUCUGGGCCCUAAGAUGAAAACACUGAGAUUCAUUUAUUUAUCGUUUUACUCCUUUAUUGACACAACACAUGUUUGUUGAUUGCCUAUCUGUGCCAGGAACUCUGCUAGGAACUAGGAAUACAGCUCGCAGGCCUUUUCUUGGCCUCGUGAAGGUCUUUCCCUGCAGCUCCUCACAAAUCACAAUGGUACCUCUGUUCGGUGUGUGCCAAGCAUCUGUGCUGCCCUGCAGUGGUUAUUGGCAUACGUCUCUCGCAUCAGCAUCAUAAUCCUGCAGGGGAGGCAGAAAGAUUCCCAUUUUAUAAGGGAGGAAACUGAGACUCAGAAACACUAGUUAUCUUCUCAAAGUCCGUCCGUGGUGGAGCCUAGAAUCCAUGGACCGGAGUUUGGUUGGACUCCAAUAGCAAUGCCACGCCUUCUUUCCCAAGAGGCGGUAGGAAAACCCUCCUGGACGGAGAGUUAAAUGCUCCGCGUGGGACCAAUGCUCCCCGCAGCCCUUUGGAGCAGUUCCAGCUCUUGUCCAACCAGGACUAAGUGCAGGCUUCCUUCCCUCUCCAGGGUUUUGGCAACCAGAGGCUCUCCUCCCCAAACCACUCUUUUUCGCUGUGUCUCCUGCCAAGUGCUGUCCAGCUGCCCAGAGAGCCAAUCCAAUGUUUUCUUUCCCCUUCCUCGUUCUUCUCACCUGUGUACCAACACAGUCAGUCAUUUGUUCUCACUUGUCGUUCCUUUUUCUAACAUGCUCGCAGCCAUCUUCUUCUACGGGGGGGAGAGUUUCCCUGUGUCACCUCCUAGAUCAGCUUCCUGCUUUAUUUCCCGGUGAAGGGGUGUGCAUUCGACUCUCAGGUCUUCCCCUGCUUAUCCCGAGCUGCUUCCCUGCACCCUCACUUAGCUGCUCAAGCCUGGUGUCUGCUGCUUGUGGGGAAGUAGCGUUGGGCAGGUUGUCUCGCCAGGGUUUGCCUUGAGUUACUCAUUUGUAAAAAGCAACAGUACUUACCUCGUGGAGCUCUUGUAAGGAAUAAACAGAGUAAUACAAUCUUCAUGCAGUGACCGGAACUUAGUACCAUAUUCAUAAAUGUUAACUGUUACUCUUCUUGGAAUUUGGUAGAGCAUGUCAAUUCUUUCCAUGAGAAGAGACUCAUGGGAGGGCCAGGACUGGCUGUAAACCCACCCACAGAGGAGCUGCCACUGGAUUCCUGUCCUGGGCUGGAGGUUUAGGCUGUCAGGUAAGCGUGAUUUCUGACUUUCUGAGGGCUCGGUCAGAUUCAAUCACGCAAAUAGUAGGUAACAGAAUUGAAGGUGGUGUAGCCGGGAGUUCAGGCGCUUGAGCAAGACGUGGCUGUGAAGACUGGGAGAUUUGUCAAGGGGUAGGAAGGCUCGGUUCCCCAGGCCGAAUCCUAGGACGGGCCUCCAAGUCUUUGGAAGGGACCUUUAGAGGAAGUCCUGGGAAUAAACUGCAAUAUAGCAAGUGAUCCAAAUUUUGGAGAUGAGCAGAAGCCAACCGUAAGACUCGGAGGGAGACGCCCAAACUUGGGAAUGCAGCGAAGCUCCAGAUACCAGAAGAGGGGCCCUGCCUCAGCAUCAGAUUCAGAAUAAGGGGAGCCACGUGGAGUUUGGAGACGUGGGGCUGGGGCCCAGGGACCUGGAUCCAGACCCAGUGAUUCUGGGUGGGGAGAGCUGUAGAGAUACGGAACCAGGCUGAACUGCAUCCUUUAUAAAUCUAUUAUUUUAUGAGUAUAGAUUCGACCUAUAAACCUCGAGAGGUGAGAUGGCUACGUAUGUAUAGAUAUCCUGAUAUGGUGUUUAAUAUCUUAUUCGGUUCCUACUGUGAGGUUUCACAGAGAUGAUGAAAAAUAGAUGCACAGCUGAUGUUUAAGUUUGUUUAAAAGUCUUUUUAAAUGUAAGGCAUUGUGGCUAUUAUUUAUAAUCAUACCUCUUCGUGAUUGCAAUGCAGUUUUCCAUUUAAAUUCCUGUGUUUUCUCUGUAAUCUAGCCUGGAGGAUAUUGCCACCAUAAUAAAUAGAACCGGUCUAUUGAAUAAGCAUCGUUUGAAGGAUGUAAGAAUAACAGCAAUUUUGUUUUUGCCUCCCACUGUCAUUUUAAAGUGUCUUCAACAAGAUAAAUGUUUUUCCUGCUGCUGGAUAAAAGCUCAAGGGGAUUUAACAACAGAAAGUCCCAUGGUUGCUUUAACUUGCACAACAGAGCUCGACGCGGAAAUUAGGCUGUCUAGGCUCAAGUUCAGUUUUCAUUUGGAGGAGAGAAUCCUCCCCUUCUCCUCUGCCCUUGUGUCCCUAGCUGCCUCCUUGCAGCCUUCUCAGGGAGGGACUAUGGGUUGCUCGUCCCUUAUAAGCAGUCGCAGAGGGACAAGGAGAAAGGUACCAGAAAGUUCUUACCUAACGAGUCUUCCUUUUUUUGGCCACGGUGUACUGCAGCUUGAUGUGGGAUCUCAGUUCCUGGACCAGGGGUUGAACCCAGGUCGCAGGUGGUGAAAGCACCGAAUCCUAACCACUAGCCUACCAGGGAACUCCCACUUAACCAGUACUUUCAUUCUGUCUCUUUCCUCCCUGGACCUGGCUGAUGUUUAAAGCCGACUUCCUCUCUGGGACCAUCCUAGAUUCUCUGACAGGUCACCUGGGGGGCCCCUCUGACCUCAACCAUUGAAGAGUGGGCCAUGCCCCUCGUCCACUGACCACCGGCUCCUCUUAGCAUCUGGGUUGGCAGGAGUGCACCCCAAGCCCAGGCUCUGCUGGGACCUCUUGCCCUCUCGGCAAAGCCCUAUUUGAACAGAUGGGAGCACUUCUGAAAUAAUUCCAGGAUGAGCGCCUACCGUCCAUCCAUCUGUUGAUGAGCCAGCAGCGGCAAGUUCUAGGGAUGUCGCUGCCUGAUACCUCAGGCCAGUGGCCAUCGCACCAGGCCACAGUCCUCGGCCUUGUUACAGCCCAGCCCAGCUUAUUUCCACAACAGCAGGGAGCACAGACGGAGCCUCCCAAAGUCUCCUUCAGGAGGUCCUCGCCUCAUUGGAGCAAAGGUCAAAGCUCUUUUCAAUAGGUACCAUUUCUUGAUAAUUCCACCCUCUCGGUCUGCUCACAACCUUUAAUAGCAUUAUAACCUGGGCAGAGGUUUUAAAGGUACCAAGACUGGGUCUCAUCAUUUUGUUUGAAAAUGUAUAUGCGGUCUGGCAGCUCACGUUGGAAUUAAACCUCUGUUGUGUUGUGAUGCACGAGACAAAAUUUCCAAUUCGAUGUCCUAUAUCAUCGGCACACAAAAUGUAUCAGUCAAAUGAGUGUCUCAAUCAUUUAUGUUGAGAAUACAGGGAAUUGAGAGCUCAUGGGACUGUAAAAUCAGUGGGAAAAAUAAGGAUCCUUAUUUAUUCUUAGAGUUCCACACCCAGGCAGCUCUUGAUUGUGAAUGAAAAAUGCAGCCUCCCCUAUCAGUAAACAAAGGAUGUUGCAGCCGUCAGGCCAUCUCCUUACAGCCUCCCCAGUGGUGAGCCCUGAGGGAGCGCGGCUGGAACAGAAUGCCCGCCAUCCAGCAGUCAGUGGUGGCAGCCACCCCCGCCAGGGCACCCCAAGAGACUCAGGAUGAGGAGGCACAGGAUGCUGGCCCAGAGAGCUGGGUGCCCAGCAAAGGAAAGAUUUCGGUGAGCCCGGACUGCUGCAUCUCUCCAUGCACAGAAAAACAGUCCAUUUCCUAACCCGAGGCAUCCAGUUGUUUUUAACUUUCAGCAAUUUAUGAUGUUUGGAUUACCUGGUCUUUGUUGCAAAACUCGCAUACAUCCCGCACACCCGCCCCC
rnacentral:lncRNA from 1 species